GAACCCAAAUCCUUGAAGACUCAAGUUCUUCUACAACACACAGGUUGUCCUUCCCCAGAGGACCAACACGGAGAGUGAAAUAAUCAGCACUGUUUGCAUUCAGACAGUACAAGUUAGCGGUGACCCUAGACAAGUGAUUACUUGCAAGGCCUUAACCUUGCUGAUUUUCGCAAGGAUUUUUAAACGGAUUUUUAAAAAUCUCUUGAGAUGUGCACAUCAGAUUAAGAAUAAUUCUAUUAAUAGUUCAUGUGUGAGUGUGUGUGAAAGAGAAAGAAGAGGCAGUUCUUUUUUAGCUUUUGAAAUUGGUUGCAAAUGCUGAUAGGCUAUGGCAAAGCAUCUCUACACUGAAAUAACCUUGUAUAAUAACUAUUUACUUGUUUGAAGUUUGCCUGAAAAGAAAACAAAUGAACUGUUUAUAUUAAAAGAAGUGCCUGGAUCAAAUAUUUAGGAGAAUUCAUAUUUAACUUAAAUUUUAAACUAUCAAGGUAAUUUUUUUCAUAUUUUGUGUUUAAUUGUUAUUUGGAAGUAAAACUGUUAGGGUUGCCAGAUCUGACAAAAAUAUAAAAUGCCAGUUUUAAAAAUUACUUAACUUUUUAUUUGAAAAGUUUUGAAUUUACAGAAUUAUUGCACAGAUAGUACAGAUAGUUCUAUAUUCUACAUCCGGUUUCCUCUGUUAGUAACAGUAUUAUACAUUUGUCACAAUCAAUGAACCAAUAGUAAUACAUUAUUAUUAAGUAAAAUCCAUAUUUUAUUCCUAUUUCUUCAGUUUUUCCCUAAUGUUCCUUUCUUGAUCUGGGAUGCCAUCAAGGAUAGCACGUCACAUUUAGUCAUGGCUCCUUAUACUCUUGGCACUUAAAUUUUCAUUUCAGACAAACAACAAAUACUUGUUUCCUUCUUCUUAUCAUUUUCCUAUCCAUUUUGAAUUAAAGCUCCCCUUUUCUAUGUUCCAAGAUUUCCAAGGGCUUACCUCUUUGACUGCAUUUCUCACACUAAGUGGCAGUUGUUGGUUUAGUCCUAUUUUCUCCCUAUUAUGCUAGAACCAUUUGAAGAGCAGUUUUCUGCUCUUCUCUCUCUGCCUUUAUCAUCAUUGCCAAGCACAGGGUUUGACAUAUAAUAGCUACUCAGUAAUUGUUAAAAUAAUGAUGAAUUACUAGAAAUGUGAUAAUGUAAGUAAACACCCCAGUACAGUGUGUGGUGAAUAAUAGGCAUGGACAAAUGUUUGCUUCUCCUUGGAGAAAAACAUAAAAUGUCUUAUAAAUUUAAAGAUAGUUCUUACUUCAGCUCGAUCAAUGUCACUUCUAAGAUCUUUAGUAAAGCCAGAGUGUGGAUUGAUUUGAAACACUAGGAAUAAACAAGUAUUUAUUGAUAGUCAUCUAGCACUUUGAGGACAAUAAAAUUAAUGCAGAAGUAGUUGUAGUUAUCCUUUCAGUGAACAAAGAUCAAGCUGGCAAUAAGUCAAAGGGAUUUUCUGAGGGGUUAAGCCCUUUACAAAAUUAUGAAAGUUUUUGCCUUCUCUCCUCUUCCUAUUUCACCCUCUUCCCUCUGCCUUCG
ensembl:lncRNA